GUAGUUUAUUUUAUUUUUCCUCUCUCACGUCUUCAUGAGCUCCCGGCGCUCCGGGGAUUGUUUUUCCAUUUCCUUCAUGCUGUGGGGAUACUGCGGUGCAAUAUUUUUCCUCUUCUUGUUUUGUUUUUUGCUUGGUUGGUGUGUUGCGGUGCAACACUGCUUUGCCUUCUUGUUCUUGGUUUACCUGAUCUUCUUGGGUUCUUGGGUUUUCUUGAUCUUCAUCAAGUGGCAUUCUAGAGUUAAUUUUUUUGUGUUCGGGCCUGCGAAGUGUAGAUGCGGUCAGCUUGUUUCAUAGAGGCACUGAUCGUCAUCGAGUACGUGGAGUGUGGCUCACCUUUCGCGGUUCAAUUUGUCGUCAACUACAACAGUUGGGCGGAGAGAGGCCACAUUCCGUUUUGUUCCUGUUGUUAUUAUUUUUUUUAUUCCUCCGAGGUACCGAGGGGUGCAACGGCGCCUUCAUCUUAGUUGUUGUGGUGACGGCGGCAUUGUUGCUGGGAUCCAGUGCAACAACAAUCUAUUGGAGCGGAGCUAGGAUUUGGGAUUGGUUGUUCUCUUGGCAUUGCUAGCACAUUGUUCGUGGAAAAGGACCAAGUGACACUAGCUUCAAAGGUGGCAGCAUUGCGGUGGUUUUUUAUUCUUUUUGGUCGUCUCUUCAAUUCAAAGCUUCGCAAUUUCAGAGCUCCAGAUUCAAUGUGGCAGUGCCGCGGUUGAUAAAUUCUCCUCUAUGUAUUAUGCUGAGCUUUGAUUGUUACGGUGUCCCUAGUGUAUGUCCCUAGGAUGUGUCGCUGCAAUUGCUUUUGUUUUGUAGAUUGUUGAUGUUUUUUUCUUUUGAUUCUGUUGUCGUUUGAUACCUGAUCUUAGUGUGUAAAAUGUCGGUGGUUGUGUUCUUGUUUUGGAGCUGCAUCAAAGGGGGUUGUAUUGCUGUCGACCUCGUAGUGAGGUAGAUGCGGAGUUGGUGGUUUGCAAAGCAGCAGGGAUCCAUUUCGGCACUAGUUCUUGUCUUCAUAUCCUUGUUCUACUUCAACGGCACCAGGUCCGUAUUUUGCGGUGGCACUGCUAGAGCAGCAUUGAGAAGGCAUCAUGGUGCAGAGCUGUGGAGGGAAGAGGGCAUCUAGGCGCUUGUGCAUAUUUGUGCGUAUUGGGUGAUUGCGCAUCUAAUUCGGUGGAUUUGAAUUUUUUUUCCCUUGCCGGACGUAAUUGGUAUCCUGAACGUGGUUGAGUGCGGAGUUCUGGCCUAGUACAGUUGGAAGAAUGUCGAAUCGGUUGCGCAAUAUAACCUAUUGAGGAUCGUAGGAGCGACAAGCUACCGUCCUUGCCGUCGUUUCUUUGAGAAGAAAUGUUUAGCAAAUCUAAGGGUGAUGAUGUGGACCAAUUCCAUUUAUUAUUGAGAUCACCAAGGCCAGUAUAGAGAGGGCAAUCGUAGCGUAUCAAUGCAAUUGUAUUGAUUAAAUAAAAGAAGAGCUUAGAAGAAGAGAUUGAGAAUCCCCCUGAUAACAGAUUAGAGUUGCGCCAUGCCAACAAGUUCACUAUUGUGGAGGUGUGGAAAAUCCCCAACUUAUUGCAGGAACUAGUCGCAAGCCACACCAUCGACCCUCUCUGUAAGUACUCAAGCAAUUAGGUAGAUGAAUUAGACUACAUGAAGUUAGGUUAAUCGGAUAAAUUAGAAUUAGGGUUGAAUUAGGUUAGUUGGAUGAACCAUCAAAAUUGAAUAAAUAUUUUUUAAAAUUGGAUGAAUUAUUAUUGAA